UUGGGAACUCCCCAGAGAUCUGACCACAGAGGGCUGAGGUGGCUUCUAGAUUCUGCACUCUGGUAUCCUCCAUCCCCACCCCCACCCUAAGACUACAGAAUACCCUCAGCUACUCUCACCUUCACUUGCCCCGACCCCCGCCUCACUUCACAGACUGGGACACAGAGUUUCAGGAAGAGAAAGUGACGUGCCCAAGGGCGCACAGCAGCUACCAGUAGCUGAGGGUAAGAAAAGGUUUGGAGAGAUCUGAUAACAUGGGCCAAGGGCUGUAAGGAAUCCCCUGGCAGAAUUUCCUGUUGAGAUCUGGGGCUGCCUGGUCAGAGUGGGAGACAAGGGCUACUUUGGAACAUCGAGAGGUACCGUGCCCCCACUGCAGCUCACUGAAAAUACGGUGACUUCUCCACCGACUGCCACCAAGGGAUGGAUGUCAUAUCCUGCUCUCUGUCUCAGCCACAAUGGGGAACCCACAAUGCUGCCAGGCGCUGCCCGCACCAGCUGGCCAGGCUCAGAUGGAGGAAGGAUGGAGUCUUGCUCUAUUACCAGGCUGCGGUGCAGUGGCUCGAUCCUGGCUCACUGCAAUCUCCACCUUCCAGGUUCAAGGUAUUCCCCUGCCUCAGCCUCCUAAGUAGCUGGGAUUACAGGCUCACACCACCAUGCCUGGCUAAUUUUUUUGUAUUUUUAGUAGAGACAGGGUUUCACCAUGUUGGCCAGGAUGGUCUCAAUCUCCUGACCUUGUGAUCUGCUCAACUUGGCCUCCCAAAGUGCUGGGCUUACAGGCCUGAGCCACCACGCCCAGCCAACCUUUUUUUUUCUUUCUUUCUUUCUUUUUUUUAAGAUGGAGUCUCACUCUGUUGCUCAGGCUGGAGUGCAAUCUCAGCUCACUGCAACUUCCGCCUUCCAUGUUCAAGCAAUUCUCCUGCCUCAGCCUCCUAAGUAGCUGGGAUUAUAGGUGCCUGCCACCACGCCCGGCUAAUUUUUGUAUUUUUAGUAGAGAUGGGGUUUCAUCAUGUUGGUGAGGCUGGUCUCGAACUCCUGACCUCAGGUGAACCACCUGCCUCAGCCUCCCAAAGUGCUGGAAUUACAGGCGUGAGCCACCGUGUCCAGCAGAUUUUAACCUUUCAGUGGCUCCCUAUUGCUCUCAGGACAAAGUCUGAGCCUUACAUUUAAGGUAUUUGCUAUCUGAGCCCCACAACACACUCUGAGCUUCUCACCAAGCCAUAACCUUGUUCCCCUUCCUGCCUUUGCACAAAAUCUCCUCCGCCUGGCUGUCCUUCCCUGCCGUUGCCGUAAUCGAGGCCAGAGAUGAUGAGGUCUGAAUCCAAGUGGGAAGGGAGAGUUGGCCAGCACCCACGGGUCUUGAGCUCACUGUUCUUCCUACUCUCAGUGCUGACGUUUAAGAGGGUGGCUUUGGAGGUGAAGUUCUGGGUGCCCAUUCGAGUCCUGGUAGAGACAUCAGCUGCCAGUUAAUAGAUAUAUGAGUCUGGACUGCAGAGGCAAGGCCCCAUCUCCAGGUAAUAGUUUGGGGGUGAUCCCAAAUUUGAAGCCAAGUGCUCAACAGGAUCCACUAGAGAGAAAGAGUGGCUCCAGAAGGGAAGGCAGAACCAGGUUGGGGGCAGUGGCUCACACCUGUAAUCCCAGCCCUUUGGGAGGCUGAGGUGGGAGGGAAGAAAUGGCUUGCGGAGGGAGUGAGUGAGCCACCACGUUAAAUGCCGCCAAAAGGCAGAGGGAAGGAGAGGGAAAGGAGCAAGGGGGAUGUUCAGGACCAGCAGCUGCAGGACUCAGGGAAGGAUUCAACAUGGGAGUGGGGAGGUCGGAAGGCUGAGGGGUACCAAAGGUCUGGCUUGAAAAAAUGGGCGGAAAGGGGUGCCAAGCCCCAUGGAGGAAGCCUGGGGAAGAGCAGCGGCAUGUGUGUGGAAAUGGAGGGGUCGGUUUGGGCCAGGCUGAACUGAGGUGCUUUUGGGAUCUCAUUAGAUCUAUGGGCUGGAGAGGAAUCUGUGUUGGAGAGAGAAAAUGAGACCACCGACCACUUCUCUCUCCUGUAUCUAUGAGCUCAUCUAUGUGCUACUCUGAAAUCUCUAUUUCCAGACUAGAUUUCUGUCCAGAACUCCUGGUGCCCUUGGAGGUCAGCCUGGAUGUCCCAUAGGGACCUGUAAAACAGACAAACAGGCCCCAGUGGACACAUAUCAGAGAGGACAGAGUUGGAGGCAGGAAACCCAAGAGAAAGUCAACUGGACUGGUCCAGACAAAGGCAAUGGUGGCCUGAACUAGAGGAGACUCUGGAUCAUGCUGCAUGUCCAGGCCAUCUUCCUUCUCAGCUCAGCUUUGGCACAGGUCAGCCCCAGGAUCAUCAUGCAAGGGAGCCUGAAGCCUGUCUCCCCAAGUCCCUGGAAAAUAGACAUCUGUGACACUCCUCCCGAAUCCCCAGGGCCCAGGGAGCAUGGCUGAGCACGCCAGGCUGCCUGGGGUCAAAUCCUGUCCUGCCAUGAACUGGCUGGGUGUCUUUGGACAAAUGGUGUAACAGUGCUGAGCCUCCACCUCCUCAUCUGAGGACACCAAGAAUAAUGAGGGUGCCUGCCUCAUGGGGAUGUGAUGAGGCUUAAAGAAUAAAAUGCAUGCAGUUAGCACAGAACCUGGCACAGUAAGUGUGCACUGAUAGUGAUUAUUACUGUUGCUAUUUUAUCAAGAGACCUGGAUUCUGGUCCCAGUUUUGCCGCUGUUCCCCCCCACCCCCCACCCUCGCCUGCCUGAGUUUUGGACUAUAAAGUAGGUGUUAAUUGAUUAAAUGAG